rnacentral:tRNA from 1 species
GCCUGACGAGGCCAACUCGGACUCUGACGGAAAAGCGGACCAGCCGCAAACAUCCGGAACCGCCGCCCGUCACUCGUAAUGAAGGGGUCCGGGGUUCGAGUCCCCGCGUCGGCU